AGUAACCUGCCUUGGAGUGGGGAAUAACAGUUGGAAACAGCUGCUAAUACCGCAUAAUAUGUCUGUGUCGCAUGGCACUGGACAUCAAAGAUUUAUCGCUCUGAGAUGGACUCGCGUCUGAUUAGCUGGUUGGCGGGGUAACGGCCCACCAAGGCGACGAUCAGUAGCCGGACUGAGAGGUUGGCCGGCCACAUUGGGACUGAGACACGGCCCAGACUCCUACGGGAGGCAGCAG
rnacentral:rRNA from 1 species